GUGCUCACUUCCACAGCACAUACACUAAAAUUGGAACGAUACAGACAAGAUUAGCAUGGCCCUGCACAUGGAUGACAUGCAAAUUCACGAAGCGUUCCAUAUUUUU